rnacentral:lncRNA from 1 species
UAGAGAUUACGUUUUUAUUCCCAGCAUGUUUGAGACACGAGACAUCAGCAGAGGAUGAAGACGAAGGACGACUUCUAACAAUCAAAACUAUGUAAGUAAAGCGUCUCAUUUACACAGAAAGACACUGAACAUUUUUUUUAUUGUAAAAAUACUGUCAUUGUUGAAAAAAAAAAAGAGAGAAAUAGAUGUUCCUUUACACUAAAACCUGUAAAUUGUCCACCACAGUGUUCCACAAUCAUCCCCAGGAGGAGACGCCAGCAGAGGAAAGAAACAAUAUUAACCAAAACAAUGUAAGUAUAACUUCUCAUUUACACAGAAAGACACUGAUCACAUGUUUAUAGUAUAAAUAGACGUCAUGUUUUACUAACGCCUGUAAAAUGUCGGAGAGGAACGCCAACAUCCACUGAUGAAGGAGGAGAAGAAAGAUGGAGGACGGGAGUGACAGCAUCUACCAAUGGAGGAGAAGAAAUACUUUUAUUAACCAAAACAAUAAUCCACUGAUGGAGAUCAAGGAAGAUGGAAGAGUACCAUCAUCUACCAAUGGAGGAGGAGGAGGAGGGGGAGAAAAAUGGGGGAGCACCAGCAUCCAAAAGUGUCCCACAAUCAGCCCCAGGAGGAGAUAUCAGCAGAGGAAAGAAACAAUAUUAACCAAAACAAUGUAAGUAAAACUUCUCAUUUACACAGAAAGACACUGAUCACAUGUUUAAUGUAUAAAUAGACGUCAUGUUUUACUAACACCUGUAAAAUGUUGGACUUGACCACCAGAAUCCACUGAUGGAGGAGAAGAAAGAUGGAGGACAGGAGCACACAAACAUCAGCACAAGACAGAGAUGAAGAAAGACUUCUAUCAAUCAACCAAAAACAAUGUAAGCAAAG